rnacentral:rRNA from 1 species
GAUGAACGCUAGCGGCAGGCCUAACACAUGCAAGUCGAGGGGUAACAGGGUAGCAAUAUCGCUGACGACCGGCGCACGGGUGAGUAACGCGUAUGCAACCUUCCUUUAACUGGGGCAUAGCCCGGAGAAAUUCGGAUUAAUGCCCCAUAAGAUCAUAGAAAGGCAUCUUUCAGUGAUUAAAGCUCCGGCGGUUAAAGAUGGGCAUAUGUGCCAUUAGCUAGUUGGUGAGGUAACUGCUCACCAAGGCUACGAUGGCUAGGGGGUCUGAGAGGACGAUCCCCCACACUGGUACUGAGACACGGACCAGACUCCUACGGGAGGCAGCAGUGAGGAAUAUUGGGCAAUGGGCGCAAGCCUGACCCAGCCAUGCCGCGUGAAGGAUGAAUGCCCUAUGGGUUGUAAACUUCUUUUGUACGAGACGAAACUUCCGGUCGUGACCGGGAUUGACGGUAUCGUGCGAAUAAGCAUCGGCUAACUCCGUG